AUUGAACGCUGGCGGCAGGCCUAACACAUGCAAGUCGAACGGUAGCACAGAGGAGCUUGCUCCUUGGGUGACGAGUGGCGGACGGGUGGGUAAUGUCUGGGAAACUGCCCGAUGGAGGGGGAUAACUACUGGAAACGGUAGCUAAUACCGCAUAACGUCUUCGGACCAAAGUGGGGGACCUUCGGGCCUCACACCAUCGGAUGUGCCCAGAUGGGAUUAGCUAGUAGGUGGGGUAAUGGCUCACCUAGGGGACGAUCCCUAGCUGGUCUGAGAGGAUGACCAGCCACACUGGAACUGAGACACGGUCCAGACUCCUACGGGAGGCAGCAGUGGGGAAUAUUGCACAAUGGGCGCAAGCCUGAUGCAGCCAUGCCGCGUGUAUGAAGAAGGCCUUCGGGUUGUAAAGUACUUUCAGCGGGGAGGAAGGCGUUAAGGUUAAUAACCUUGGCGAUUGACGUUACCCGCAGAAGAAGCACCGGCUAACUCCGUGCCAGCCGCCGCCGUAA
rnacentral:rRNA from 1 species